AGCGUGGGGAGCAAACAGGAUUAGAUACCCUGGUAGUCCACGCUGUAAACGAUGAGUACUAGGUGUCGGGGGUUACCCCCCUCGGUGCCGCAGCUAACGCAUUAAGUACUCCGCCUGGGAAGUACGCCCGCAAGAGUGUAACUCAAAGGAAUUUACGGGGACCCGCACCAGUAGCGGAGCAUGUGGUUUAAUUCGCAGCAACGCGAAG
rnacentral:rRNA from 1 species